GUGAUUAUGUAUACACCCCUUUCGACAUCGGGAUUUUUAUUUGUCCCUUUCUGUUCUUAUCCUUUGGUGUUUUCAUGUUAGGUGAGAUUUGUUUGAAAAAACAAGUUUAAAAAGGUCCGACAUGUAUAUGUCGACGAUUUGACUGUAAGAGUCGCCAGUUGGUAUUUUUACAUAGUUGCACCAACUCAACCGAGAAAAUGUUUGCACAAAGACCUAGUGAUGUGAUACUGUUUAACUGGUCUGCAAAACCGAAAUUCAUUAGGGUCCGGGGGCUUGAUUAAGCGGAGGGAAGGUGUUAGGCACCCCCCGACUUCCGUGAUAACAUGGUUAUCGCCACUUUUGAUUUUAAACUUUUAUCUGUUUGUGUGUGUGUGUGUGUAUAGGUCUAUGUGAAGUUGUUUGGAAGUAG
rnacentral:lncRNA from 1 species